AUUGAACGCUGGCGGCAGGCCUAACACAUGCAAGUCGAACGAGUGGCGGACGGGUGAGUAAUGUCUGGGAAACUGCCUGAUGGAGGGGGAUAACCACUGGAAACGGUAGCUAAUACCGCAUACCAUCAGAUGUGCCCAGAUGGGAUUAGCUUGUUGGUGGGGUAACGGCUCACCAAGGCGACGAUCCCUAGCUGGUCUGAGAGGAUGACCAACCACACUGGAACUGAGACACGGUCCGGACUCCGACGAGAGGCAGCAGUGGGGACUAUUGGACAAUGAGCGAAAGCCUGAACCAGCCAUGCCGCGUGUGUGAAGAAGGUCUUCGGAGUGUAAAGCACUGUAAGUUGAGAGGCGUUACCAACAGAAUAGGCACCGGCUAACUUCGAGCCAGCAGCCGCGGUAAUUC
rnacentral:rRNA from 1 species